GACGAACGCUGGCGGCGUGCUUAACACAUGCAAGUCGAACGGAAAGGCCCUGCUUUUGUGGGGUGCUCGAGUGGCGAACGGGUGAGUAACACGUGAGUAACCUGCCCUUCACUUUGGGAUAACUUCAGGAAACUGGGGCUAAUACCGGAUAGGAGCUCCUGCUGCAUGGUGGGGAUUGGAACUUUUGGGCGGUUGGGGCUGGACUGGCGGCUUAUCAGUUUGUUGGUGGGGUAGUGGCUUACCAAGGCUUUGACGGGUAGCCGGCAUGGGAGGGUGACCGGCGACAUUGGGACUGCGAGACGGCCCAGACUCCUACGGGAGGCAGUGGUGGGGAAUAUUGCACAAUGGGCGGAAGCCUGAUGCAGCAACGCCGCGGGCGGGAUGACGGCCUUCGGGUUGUAAACCGCUUUCGCCUGUGACGAAGCGUGAGUGACGGUAAUGGGUAAAGAAGCACCGGCUAACUACGUG
rnacentral:rRNA from 1 species